ensembl:lncRNA
UUUGGCUCUCAGCCUUCUUCACAGUCCAACUCUCACAUCCAUACAUGACCCCUGGAAAAACCAUAGCCUUGACUAGACAGACCUUUGUUGGCAAAGUAAUGCCUCUACUUUCCCAUAUGGUAUCUGGGUUGGUCAUAACUUUUCUUCCAAGGAGCAAGCGUCUUUUAAUUUCAUGGCUGAAAUCACCAUCUGCAGUGAUUUUGGAGCCCCAAAAAAUAAAGUCUGACACUGUUUCCACUGUUUCCCCAUCUAUUUCCCAUGAAGUGAUGGGACCAGAUGCCAUGAUCUUCGUUUUCUGAAUGUUGACCUUUAAGCCAACUUUGUCACUCUCCUCUUUCACUUUCAUGAAGAGGCUUUUUAGAUCCUCUUCACUUUCUGCCAUAAGGGUGGUGUCAUCUGCAUAUCUGAGGUUAUUGAUAUUUCUCCUGGCAAUCUUGAUUCCAGCUUGUGCUUCAUCCAGCCCAGCGUUUCUCAUGAUGUACACUGCAUAGAAAUUAAAUAAGCAGGGUGACAAUAUACAGCCUUGACGUACUCCUUUUCCUAUUUGGAACCAGUCUGUUGUUCCAUGUCCAGUUUCAACUGUUGCUUCCUGACCUGCAUAGAGGUUUCUCAAGAGGCAGGUCAGGUGGUCUUCUAUUGCCUUCAGAAUUUUCCAGUUUACUGUGAUCCACACCUAACAGAAGGAGAAGAUAUUAAGAGGUGGCAAGAAUACACAGAAGAACAGUACAAAACAGAUCUUCAUGACCAAGAUAAUCAUGAUGGUGUGAACACUCACCUAGAGUGAGACAUUCUGGAAUGUGAAGUCAAGUGGGCCUUAGAAAGCAUCACUAUGAACAAAGCUAGUGGAGGUGAUGGAAUUCCAGUUGAGCUAUUUUAAAUCCUGAAAGAUGAUGCUGCGAAAGCACUGCACUCAAUAUGCCAGUCAAUUUGUAAAACUCAGCAGUGGCCACAGGACUGGAAAAUGUCAGUUUUCAUUCCAAUCCCAAAGAAAGGCAAUGCCAAAAAAUGCUCAAACUUCUGUAGAAUUUCACUCACCUCACUAGUAAAGUAAUACUCAAAAUUCUACAAGCCAGGCUUCAGCAAUAUGUGAACCAUGAACUUCCAGAUGUUCAAGCUGGUAUUAGAAAAGGCAGAGGAACCAGAGAUCAAAUUGCCAGCAUCCACUGGAUCAUUGAAAAAGCAAGAGAGUUCCAGAAAAACAUCUAUUUCUGAUUUAUUGACUAUGCCAAAGCCUUUGACUGUGUGGAUCACAAUAAACUGGGGAAAAUUCUGAAAGAGAUGGGAAUACCAGACCACAUGACCUGCCCCUUGAGAAAUCAUAUCCAUGUGAGGAAGCAACAGUUGGAACUGGACAUGGAACAAAAGACUGAUUCCAAAUAGGAAAAGGAGUAUGUCAAGGCUGUAUAUUGUCACCCUGCUUAUUUAACUUCUAUGCAGAGUACAUCAGGAGAAGGGCUGGGCUAGAAGAAGCACAAGCUGGAAUCAAGAUUGCCAGGAGAAAUAUCAAUAACUUCAGAUAUGCAGAUGACACCACACUUAUAGCAGAAAGUGAAGAGGAUCU